rnacentral:piRNA from 1 species
UAGGCCAUAAUCCACCUCUUCAGUAGGCCA